AUCUGGGAUGGCAGAACCCUGAGGAGUAACUGAUGAGGUAAAGAAAGCUCCAGAACCCUUAGCAAUAUUCCACCCCCAUCUGCCAUCUAGAGUAAAGGAUGAUUGGAAAUGGGGGCCCCCAUGAUGUCUUAGAGGAUUGGAAGAGAACUGUGGUCAUCCACAUAUCUGAGCACCAUGAACAGACUAGCUACAGGAUCAGUGCACCCUGCCGUAAAAAGCCAGCUGCAAUGAAACACUUUUGAAUGGAGAAGCAUCUGGAGGUUGAAGAUAUCAGAGAAGCUUCCCGCUGGUCUGGAAAUCAGUACUGGAGCAUCCUUUUUUGGGCAGAGAUAGGGGUGGAUUGAGAUAUGCUUUCAAUGAGGAGGAAGAGAGUAUGGAAGGAAGACUAAAUCACUUAAGUGGAGAAGGGCUAAAGUUAUUGGUUUUCCUUUCAGAGGAGAUCAGUUAUGCCUGAGGAAACAGAACCUACAAAUAACCAAAGCACUCCUUGGUAGGGGCCUUACGCCCACCACCAUUUUUGCAAGGUAACUUUGCCGUGCAUUCACUAUCUACCUGAGUGAUGGCUGCUGUCUUCUAUGUUGGUUUAUUUUCUGUCUCACCUUUGCUCAUCUGUGAUGAUCUGGAAAGUGGACAGUAGCAUGAGAAAUCACCUAAUCUUAAGAAAGAGGAAAAUGCAACCCAUUAAAUUAUUGCCUAAAGUGAGAUUAGAAUUUCUUGACUUUUAAAAGACUGGGCUGGAGCAAACCUAGAUAUCAAGAAAAAUUCUCUUCAGUAAGAGCCGAUAUGAUAAAACCUGAAAUUAUGUAUCAUGGGGAAUAAGUUGUAGGUAGGUUGGUGGUUGGUAGACAUAAGGUAUACAUUUUAUUCUAGUUUUGGAUCUUAUCAAGAUCAUGAGGCUAUUUUCUCAAGGGGGGAUAACAUGUCCUACCUAACAAGUCUCUCUAUUAGAUGGGGAAUGUGAUGGAGUAAGGGGAAUGGCAAAAGAAAGACAUUGAUUUGGAAGGGGAGGGGCACUUGCUUGCUGGGCGCAGAGAGGACUGAGUAGUUAACUGUCAGUGGCAAAAAUAACUGCCAUCCUGGGAGGUGAAAGUGUGGGGAGGGGGACAGAAUGGAGCACACAUCAGAGCUCCGUGGGCAAAAGCUGCUCUCAUGAGGAAGCCACACUGUUUCUGACCCAAUCUAAAGAGUGGCCUGGUGAACAAGGCGCUCUGUGCUUUUUGGUUCCUACCAGUGAUGGCUGGGAAUAAAGAAGGUUAGAACAAAAGAAAACAUCUCGCUUCCCUGCCAAUUCCAGGCUUUCACCAAAGCUGAGGUCUGCAUUUGCAAGUCUCUAGCACUGUGCCUGAGAAUUUCUAACUAUUCAAUACCUGUGUGUGUGUGAAAACGUAAAAUUUUGUUCUCCAUUUUUUUUCUUCUCAGUUAACCUGGCUAUAAGAUGAUUCCUGUGCUAUAGCUGCUGGAGGUAGCCUGAUCAAAAAACACCGCAAUUGUGGAGAUGAUUGAUUCUUCUUUUUAUCACCUGUAAUACCCCUAUCUUUCCUCCAUGUAACCAUUAAAGGGAGCAGUUGUGUACAAAAUGUAUUAUACACAGGUCCCACGCAGAGGAGUUAGAGGGAGGAUUUAAUACACAAGAAAAGAGGUUCCUGGUGUCCUGAGGGGCAGUUCCCUCCCUGCUGGCUACUUGAGUGGGCUAAUCUUCAGCCCCCAAAUGAGGCCUAUAUGGAAAAGGAUGACAUCGAGCAAAGGGCAUAGGUGGAAACUCCCUCCCUACAACACAUCAUCUGCUACUCUCAGCUCAAAGGUUUAAAGAGAGCAAGAAGAUUUACUUCAGAUGGUCCGUGUCCCUGUCACCAUCCCCAUCUCCAUUUCUGACAGGAGUGUACAGGGAGGUGAAAAGAAGGUGGCUGUCAUUGGGAAACAAGAUAAUACAUACAUAGGAAAUUAAAUGGUAGUGAAUGAAUAAUGCUAAAGGCUAGAAAAAGUUGUAGAGAAGCAAAGAGAGGCUGAGAGCUGAGCCACCGCAGAGGAGAUGCCCAUCAUUGCUGGAUAAUUUAUUUUGGAAACAGGGCCGAGAAUGGGAAUCUGAUUUUCUGGCAAAAAACCCUAAUCUAUAAUAAGAGGCUAUGUUACCUUAGCCCAACAGAGGUCUAUAUCCUGAAAUCAUAAAGGUUCAGAAGACCAGAAUACAAGCCCAGUGUUCAGGUCAAGAGAACAAGAUCCUUGGAAUCAGACACACUGGAAUAAAAAUUGAAAUUCUUUCACUUAU